UGCCGGGUAGCUAUGUUCGGAAAAGAUAACCGCUGAAAGCAUCUAAGCGGGAAACUUGCCUCAAGAUGAGAUCUCACUGGGAACUUGAUUCCCCUGAAGGGCCGUCGAAGACUACGACGUUGAUAGGCUGGGUGUGUAAGCGUUGUGAGGCGUUGAGCUAACCAGUACUAAUUGCCCGUGAGGCUUGACCAUAUAACACCCAAACA
rnacentral:rRNA from 1 species